rnacentral:rRNA from 1 species
CCCCCAGUAACUGGCGAGUGAAAAGGGAAGAGCCCAGCGCCGAAGCCGCCGUCCAUUAAAGUGGGCGGAGGGCAAUGUGGCGUUAAGGAAGAGCCUCCUUGACCUGACGUUUCGUUGUUCGGACCGCGGGAGCCCGAGUCCCCCUGACCGGGGCCACGGCCCAUGGCGGGUGCAAGGCCUCUUCGGCUCCGUUCGACGGUUCGAAGGUUGCUGGCUUCUUUCCUCAGAGUCGGGUUGCUUGAGAGUGCAGCCCUAAGCGGGUGGUAAACUCCACCUAAGGCUAAAUAUCACCACGAGACCGAUAGCGAACAAGUACCGUGAGGGAAAGUUGCAAAGAACUUUGAAGAGAGAGUUCAAGAGUACGUGAAACCGCUCGGAGGCAAACGGGUGGGCCCUCGAAGGUCGAACGGGGGGAUUCAGCCUGUCGGCGAGCGCUUCCUGAAAAAUGAAAUAACCGUCGAAAAGCAUUCGCGUGCGAAACGGAUCCGAAAUCAAAGCGGACCGGGCGGCAGGAAAGAAAUAGAGAAAAAGCGUUCGUCGGCUCGUGCACUUCCCCCUCAGUAGGACGCCGCGACCGGUCGGGUGAAAAGAAGUCGCCACAAGCGGCUUGCGGCCAUGAGGCGAGAGACGUAGCAAUGCGGGGGGCAGGUGUCCGUUUCCGCGGGUUUCGGCUUUGUCGGCUUUGCCGGCUUCGCAGUCUCCCAGGUUCGGAGUUACAGCCCCUUCUCGACCCGUGCACCGCCACCCGACCGACAAAUGGUCACGAAAUCCGUAGACGCGUGCCCGCGACGCGGCGCCCCUCGGGGUGUCGCGUGCGCUCGCCCUAAUCCAGGGCAGGCAGGAUGCGUGAGUAAAAAUCCCACCUAAACCCGUUUAAAACGCGGGCAGGGGAUCCGACGGGCGCCGAAAGCAAAAAACCGAAAAGGCGGUCGUCGGCUCCGCGUCUGCCGUUACGCCCACGUGGAGCUGGAAUCUGGCGUAGAGGCAAAAAAUNNNNNNNNNNNNNNNNNNNNNNNNNNCCGAUGGCGAAAUGAAAGUAAAGGCCGGCCCCUCGUCGAUUCCUUUCCUUUAGCUUCUCCUCUCCCGUUCGCGCGGGUCUGCGGGAGGCGGGGUUUGGUUGAAGCGGGGGGAACGUGAACGGCCGAGGCGAGAUCCUAAAUGAGCCCGUCGCUCCGGCGGCGCGGCGAAAUUUGCAAAAGAAACCGGACAUUGUAGGCACGCUCGGUUCGCGGGGGGUCUGGUCGGCAACGGCCUCUCCUCUUUAGCAACCGCGGCGGUCCGGAGGCGCAUCGCCGGCCCGUCUCGAUCGCAUCCGAUCGGCUUCUUCCUUUUGUCUCCCGGCGCUUUUCUCUCGUGUGCGCGGCGUGCGCGCUUCGCUUUUCGCUCUCACGGGCGGAGGGUGUCGCGUUUGCGCGUCGUCGCAGCGGGCCGGAUCGUGCACGCGGCAGCGAUCGGGGAGCCGAGAAGAAUUUUCAGUCGACGAGGCGGAGCAAGAGCACACACGUUGGGACCCGAAAGAUGGUGAACUAUGCCCGGGCAGGACGAAGCCAGAGGAAACUCUGGUGGAGGUCCGCAGCGAUUCUGACGUGCAAAUCGAUCGUCGGACCUGGGUAUAGGGGCGAAAGACUAAUCGAACCGUCUAGUAGCUGGUUCCCUCCGAAGUUUCCCUCAGGAUAGCUGGCACUCGGGAAAAAAAUAAAGAAAUAAUAAUGAAUGAAACAGUCUCAUCCGGUAAAGCGAAUGAUUAGAGGCAUUGGGGCCGAAACGGCCUCAACCUAUUCUCAAACUUUCAAUGGGUGAGAUGUCCGGCUUGCUUAACGUGAUAAAAAAGACGGGGGGGCCGGCGGGCUAGUUCGAUUCGUUUUCCGGAACGGAAAGGAUCCCGCCGGUCUAGCCUUGAAGCACGGACGUAGGAUGCGAGUGCCCAGUGGGCCACUUUUGGUAAGCAGAACUGGCGCUGUGGGAUGAACCAAAAGCCGGGUUACGGCGCCCGAUGCGGACGCUUAUCAGACCCCAUGAAAGGUGUUGGUUGCUAUUGACAGCAGGACGGUGGCCAUGGAAGUCGGAAUCCGCUAAGGAGUGUGUAACAACUCACCUGCCGAAGCAACUAGCCCUGAAAAUGGAUGGCGCUCCAGCGUCGAGCCUAACCCCGGCCGUCGGAAGGCAUUGAAAAAUAAAGAGACAAAAAAUUUCAAUAAAAACGAUGCCCCGGCGAGUAGGAGGGUCGCGGUGGUGAGCGUUGAAGGGAUCGGGCGCGAGCCUGCCUGGAGCCGCCACCGGUGCAGAUCUUGGUGGUAGUAGCAAAUACUCGAGUGAGAACCUUGAGGACUGAAGUGGAGAAGGGUUCCAUGUGAACAGCAGUUGAACAUGGGUCAGUCGGUCCUAAGGAAUAGGGGAAACCCGUUCCGAAAAAGAACCGGAAUAAAAACAAAUAAAGUAAAUUGACCGGUGACGACCGAAAGGGAAUCGGGUUAAUAUUCCCGAACCCGGAUGCGGAGAUCGACCCUCAAACGGGGUCUAAAGCGGUAACGCGUAACGAACUCGGAGAAUGCCGGCGGGGGCCCCGGGAAGAGUUUUCUUUUCUUUGUAAAGGACGGACUCCCUGGAAUCGGCUCGCCCGGAGAGAGGGAUGUUGUUCCUGUAAAGCACCGCGGCUCUUGCGGUGUCCGGAGCGCUCUCGUCGGCCCUUGAAAAUCCGAGGGAGUGAACGAAUGAUUUCCGCACCGGACCGUACCCAUAUCCGCAGC